rnacentral:rRNA from 1 species
UACGUAGGGGGCAAGCGUUGUCCGGAUUUACUGGGCGUAAAGAGCGUGUAGGCGGCCAAACAGGUCCGUUGUGAAAACUGGAGGCUUAACCUCCAGACGUCGACGGAAACCGUAUGGCUAGAGUGCGGUAGGGGAGACUGGAAUUCCUGGUGUAGCGGUGAAAUGCGCAGAUAUCAGGAGGAACACCGGUGGCGAAGGCGGGUCUCUGGGCCGUAACUGACGCUGAGGAGCGAAAGCGUGGGGAGCGAACAGG